UAAAGGUAAUACCUGCUCAAUGAAAUUUUAAAUUGCCGCAGUAUUAUGACUGUGCUAAGGUAGCAUAAUAAUUUGUCUUUUAAAUGGGGACUGGAAUGAAAGGUUUUAUGGGGGUGCAUUAAUGAUUUAAUAAAUUUUUGAAUUUAAGGUUUGAGUUAAAAUUCUUAAAUUUUUCUGAGGGACGAGAAGACCCUGUGGAUCUUUAUUUUAAUUAUAUUAAAUCUUUAUAAAAAUUUUAUUAUAGGAAAAAUUUGAUUGGGACGAUUUUUAUUUUAACAUAAUUUUUAGAAUUUAUUAUGAUCCUAUUAAAGGAAAAAAGAUUAAGUUACCCCAGGGAUAACAGCGUUAUAUUAUUGGAUAGAUCAUAUUGAUAAUAAUGUUUGCGACCUCGAUGUUGAAUUAAAGUUUCUUUUUAAAGUAGAAGUUAAAUAAGUAAGUCUGUUCGACUUUUGAAACUUU
rnacentral:rRNA from 1 species